rnacentral:rRNA from 1 species
CCUACGGGAGGCAGCAGUGGGGAAUCUUGCGCAAUGGGCGAAAGCCUGACGCAGCCAUGCCGCGUGAAUGAUGAAGGUCUUAGGAUUGUAAAAUUCUUUCACCGAGGACGAUAAUGACGGUACUCGGAGAAGAAGCCCCGGCUAACUUCGUGCCAGCAGCCGCGGUAAUACGAAGGGGGCUAGCGUUGCUCGGAAUUACUGGGCGUAAAGGGAGCGUAGGCGGAUAGUUUAGUCAGAGGUGAAAGCCCAGGGCUCAACCUUGGAAUUGCCUUUGAUACUGGCUAUCUUGAGUACGGAAGAGGUAUGUGGAACUCCGAGUGUAGAGGUGAAAUUCGUAGAUAUUCGGAAGAACGCCAGUGGCGAAGGCGACAUACUGGUCCGUUACUGACGCUGAGGCUCGAAAGCGUGGGGAGCAAACAGGAUUAGAUACCCUGGUAGUCCACGCUGUAAACGAUGAGUGCUAGUUGUCGGCAUGCAUGCAUGUCGGUGACGCAGCUAACGCAUUAAGCACUCCGCCUGGGGAGUACGGUCGCAAGAUUAAAACUCAAAGGAAUUGACGG